rnacentral:SRP_RNA from 1 species
AAUGAAGUCCUUAAUCAAUUAUUUACGGUGAACCAGGUCAGGAUCGGAAGGUAGCAGCCUUAAGCUAGUAGGUAAUGUGGUUAAGGCGCUUUUUUUAU